GCUUUGGUGAUACAACGCAACGAGACGUGUAUGGUGCAGUGUCUGUCGAAAUAUAUAUAUAUUUUUUAAAACUCUACUAAGUUAAAGGACAACGCUAUACCCUAGAAGAAAGAAAAUGAAGAAUUUCCUGCUGAUAUUCCUUCUCUGUGUCUGCAUAUGCCAUGGCGACAGUUUAUUUGGCGACGCGGAUGUCAAAGAAAACUGGAUAGCCAGACUUUACAAAGACAAACUUCAAAAUUACAGUAAGGCGUCGCGACCUGUCCUUGACCCGAGCCACAACACGACGGUCCACUUGGGCAUGGCGUU
rnacentral:lncRNA from 1 species